CUGGGUCCCCAUCAUCAUUUCCUCAGUUCGUGAGGCUGCCUCUGUCUUUCCUGUACCACAUUUUUGCAGUCUGCCAUAACUCAUGAAAUCAUCCAGGACAACCCUUCAGGGCUUCCUGCAUUUCUCAUCUUUCGAGAAUCACUCUAUUUCUUCAUGCCCAAUGUUCGACUGCCCUUUCUGAUUUAAGUUGUUGUUUUAAUUGUUUCAAGAAAGAAGAAGGAUUUCAAGUUAAUGAGUUCAAGUAAUUCAGCUCUGCUUCAGGAAGGAGCUGGUGGGACAUGAAACCCAAGUGUGACACUGAAAUGGGAGAGCUAAGCAGGAAGUUCUACAGAAAGGAGAGGGACCAUCGAGGGAAAUAAAUGGAACCAAUGUAAAGACUGAGCCCUGAUUGAACAAUAAAGGAGACUUUUAUUCUUGACCAAGAAUAGGAGAAGCAGGAGUUUAAAAAUCUACUUCUCCAGUAGUUGUAGGUCAGAAGAGUAUAG